rnacentral:rRNA from 1 species
GACGAACGCUGGCGGCGUGCUUAACACAUGCAAGUCGAACGGAAAGGCCCUGCUUUUGUGGGGUGCUCGAGUGGCGAACGGGUGAGUAACACGUGAGUAACCUGCCCUUGACUUUGGGAUAACUUCAGGAAACUGGGGCUAAUACCGGAUAGGAGCGCCUGCUGCAUGGUGGGGGUUGGAAAGUUUCGGCGGUUGGGGAUGGACUGGCGGCUUAUCAGCUUGUUGGUGGGGUAGUGGCUUACCAAGGCUUUGACGGGUGGCCGGCCUGGGGGGGUGACCGGCAACAUUGGGACUGAGAAACGGCCCAGCCUCCUCCGGGAGGCAGCAGUGGGGAAUAUUGAACAAUGGGCGGAAGCCUGAUGCAGCAACGCCGCGUGGGGGAUGACGGCCUUCGGGUUGUAACCCGCUUUCGCAUGUGACGAAGCGUGAGUGACGGUAAUGGGUAAAGAAGCACCGGCUAACUACGUG